rnacentral:lncRNA from 1 species
CCUUGAAAAGGGAAGGGGUGUUUUUACCUUGAGCAUUAUGUAGAAAAUCUUUAGGAGAACUGGAACUUUGGUUUUGGUUUUUUACAGACAUCACUACCUUUAAUAUAGUGGUGAAUGGUAUGCUGUGAGGGGAAAAAUAACACGUGGAAAAAUUGAGUGAGAAAAAGGGCCACGCUGGAAUGCCUGAGGACUACCCACAGUGUGAUGGCAUUCCCCCAGACCAGAGUCAGCACAUUUCAAAAGAACCAAAUUCUAAAUCUGAACUUAGUGACUUGUAUUUCAUUUAUAAUUCUAGACACAUUUUUUAUUUCCAAGUGUUUUUUUUUUUUUUUUUUUUUUUGGCUCAAUUCCUGAUUGAGACAUUCCUGCUUUAGGUAUGUUACUGCUUUCAGUCGAGUCUUGCUUUGGCCAGACAGGCUUAUUUUCUGCUUUGAUCCAUUCUGCAUUGACCUGUUAAUAGAAUUCAUACAGGACAACCUUUAAGUGUUUGGAGAGUACCUGACCUACAGACCACAAAUACUGCUUUGCAUACAUCUUGCAUACUAUAUGUUCAUCAGAAGUCCUCAAUUCUUAACUGCUGAGCCAAAACAAGAAGUACUUAAAAAAAAAGAAAGAAAGAAAAUCAUAAAUAGCUCCCAAUGCCAGGCAGGCUGGCACAUAGCAAACACCCUCAAAUCUGGUGAACAAAAUAUGCAGUUCCCUACCCCUUCUGCCUAAUGCAAUUCGUAAAAGCAUUACAGAGCACACAGCCUGCCAGGCUGCAGCUCGCGCCUCACCUCUGCGCGGGGACUCCGCCCUCCCUACAGCUCGGCUCCAAGCCCGGACCACCGGUCAGCGCGGACUGAGCAAGCACCCCCGCCUUGGACAAGGCCCCGCUGGUAGUUUAAUUUCACCACGGGCAGCACCCACUUCCUAACUAAUGAGACAGUCAAAGCGAAAAAGAUGGAUACAAUAAAGCAAAGGUGAGAAAACGGGAAAGGUGUCUUUUUCAAAAAAUUUUUUUUUAAAAAUGA